AAGUAAGAAGCAAAGUUUGCAUUCAGUUUCGACCUGAUCUUUGAUAAGUAAGAUUAUCCUUACUUU
rnacentral:tRNA from 1 species